rnacentral:rRNA from 1 species
UACAGAGGGUGCGAGCGUUGUCCGGAAUCACUGGGCGUAAAGGGCGCGUAGGCGGCUUGAUAAGGUUGCGGUGAAAGCCCGGGGCUCAACCCCGGGUCGGCCGUGGCAACUGUCGAGCUGGAGCACUGUAGAGGCAGGUGGAAUUCCGGGUGUAGCGGUGGAAUGCGUAGAGAUCCGGAAGAACACCGGUGGCGAAGGCGGCCUGCUGGGCAGGUGGCUGAC